CUGAGGUUUAAUGAAUAUGUAGAGGUAACAGAUGCUCAAGAUUAUGACCGGCGAGCCGACAAACCUUGGACCAAACUGACCCCUGCUGACAAGGCUGCCAUAAGAAAAGAAUUAAAUGAAUUUAAAAGCUCCGAGAUGGAGGUUCAUGAAGAGAGCAAACAUUUUACACGCUACCAUCGUCCAUGAUGCCAAAGGUUGAGAGAGGAACUCAACAUGGCUGCUUUGCUGCUUCCUUCUCCAAAGUGACAUAUGGAGGGAACUUUAGCACUUCCCAGCACAGCCAGAAUUGCGUCCUCUGGGAUCUUCUGAGGUGGACAGCACUUUUAAUGUAGCAUUUCACUGGAACAGAGUCUUAUGUGCUGCAGCUGGAGCAAAACAACACUUUGUCAGUGCUUUUGAACCUUUCAAUAUUGUAGCAUACUUGAGGAGUUUUUCCCUUACUGGCCACCAAAGUUCUGAACCACUUGCAGGUUCCAGGUUUUACUGGCUGCACCACACCCCUUCCCCUAGAUGACUGCCUGUGCUGAGACACAGUUUGCACCAUUAGCCUUACCUGCCCUGCCCUGAUUGUGAGACCCAAAUGUGUAGGCUCUAAAUUCCAGCCAUCAAAUCCAAUUCCUGGUGGGGAAAAUCUUCUGGAGACCCCCAACCUUCUGAUAAAAGAGUCUCUACCUCCAGGGAAAGCCUUCUUACCACACUGGCAUAUCAGAUGAAAGCAUUGCACUGUACCUCUCGUAACACAGCAAUACAGUCCUCUUGAGGCACUCAAGCCUGAGAGGAAGCUCAGGAUCUGACAUGUUCUUCCUUUUCCUCACAAGUCAUCAUGAUUUUUUAUUUUAAAAUAAUCUGGAAGUAAUGGGAACUUAGUUUUUCCUGAACUCCAACCAGAAUCCAAAUUGGUUAGAUGAGCCACCGUGCCCAGCCUUCCUUGAAGUUUUUUGUUUGGUUUUGAUUUGUUUUGUUUUUGGAGAUAGGGUCUCACUCUGUUACCCAUGCUGGAGUGCAGCGGCACAAUCUUGACUCAGAGCAACCUCUGCCUCCCAGGCUCAAGUGAUCCUCCCACUUCAGUCUAAGUAGCUGGGACUACAGACAUGUGCCACCAGGCCCAGCUAAUUUUUGUGUUUUUUUAGAGAUGAGGUUUUGCCAUAUUGCCCAGGCUGGUCUUGAACACCGGGGCUCAAGGAAUCUGCCCAUCUUCGCCUCCCAAAGUUCUGAGAUGGCAGGUGUGAGUCAUCAUGCCCAGCCUCCUUGAAGUUUACUAACACUUGGGAUAACUGAGGGAAAAUAAGUGACAAUUGCACUCAGUCUAUUAGAGGUCUGGAUAUAAGGUAGCCACACAAUAACUCUAACUUGACUUCUAACCAUUCUAUCUUAUUGGUUUGGAGACUGUCUUCUGCCAGCAUUUUUUGUAGCUUGAGAUGAUAUUUUCGAACCCUUCUUUCACUACCUUUCUUACCCUUAAGGUGCCAAGCUUGAAACAGGAUUUGAUUUCCUGAGCUACUUGUUCGCCUUCUGUGCAUCACCAAGUAAUCUGGUUCAUCUUUCAUCUCAUUCAUGUUAUUUUCAAGUGAAACAAGACAUUUUGGGGGUCAAGUCUCUUUGGGUGUUUGUUUUGUUUUUAUGUAUAUAAAAAUGGAUUUUGUGUUCCCUUUCCAUGUAAGUACCAACUUAUAUGGAAACUCACAAUCAUAAUGUAAAGAAGAAAUGAAAUCCUGAUGUAUUGUACUUCAAGAUGCCUCCCUGAUGUAUAGAAUCUCCUUGUAAAAUAAAUAAUUGCAUUGUAUAUCAGUCUUCCCAUCAAUAUUAAUUAUUAAAUAUUUUAGAAUUUUUAAAUACCAA
rnacentral:sRNA from 1 species